AACGAACGCUGGCGGCAUGCCUAACACAUGCAAGUCGAACGGGAUCCUGGUUUCGGCCAGGUGAGAGUGGCGGACGGGUGAGUAACGCGUGGGAACCUGCCCAGUGGUGGGGGAUAACUGCGGGAAACUGCAGCUAAUACCGCAUGAGCCCGAAAGGGGAAAGAUUGAUCGCCAUUGGAGGGGCCCGCGUUCGAUUAGGUAGUUGGUGAGGUAACGGCUCACCAAGCCUUCGAUCGANAGCUGGUCUGAGAGGAUGAUCAGCCACACUGGGACUGAGAUACGGCCCAGACUCCUACGGGAGGCAGCAGUGGGGAAUAUUGGACAAUGGGGGCAACCCUGAUCCAGCAAUGCCGCGUGAGUGAUGAAGGCCUUGG
rnacentral:rRNA from 1 species